UGGCGGACGGGUGAGUAACGCGUGGGCAACCUGCCUCACACAGGGGGAUAACAGUUAGAAAUGACUGCUAAUACCGCAUAAGACCGCAGUACCGCAUGGUACAGUGGUAAAAACUCCGGUGGUGUGAGAUGGGCCCGCGUCUGAUUAGGUAGUUGGUGAGGUAAUGGCUCACCAAGCCGACGAUCAGUAGCCGACCUGAGAGGGUGACCGGCCACAUUGGGACUGAGACACGGCCCAAACUCCUACGGGAGGCAGCAGUGGGGGAUAUUGCACAAUGGGCGAAAGCCUGAUGCAGCAACGCCGCGUGAAGGAAGACGGUUUUCGGAUUGUAAACUUCUGUUCUUAGUGAAGAAGUAUGACGGUAGCUAAGGAGCAAGCCACGGCUAACUACGUGCCAGCAGCCGCAGUAAAAC
rnacentral:rRNA from 1 species